rnacentral:rRNA from 1 species
GACGCAACGCGCAGAACCUUACCAUCCUUUGACAUACCUGUCGCGGAUCCAGAGAUGGAUCUUUCAGUUAGGCUGGACAGGAUACAGGUGCUGCAUGGCUGUCGUCAGCUCGUGUCGUGAGAUGUUCGGUUAAGUCCGGCAACGAGCGCAACCCUCAUCUUUAGUUGCCAGCAUUUAGUUGGGCACUCUAGAGAAACCGCCGGUGAUAAGCCGGAGGAAGGUGGGGAUGACGUCAAGUCCUCAUGGCCCUUACAGGAUGGGCUACACACGUGCUACAAUGGUAGUGACAAUGGGUUAAUCCCAAAAAACUAUCUCAGUUCGGAUUGGGGUCUGCAACUCGACCCCAUGAAGUUGGAAUCGCUAGUAAUCGCGUAACAGCAUGACGCGGUGAAUACGUUCCCGGGCCUUGUACACACCGCCCGUCACACCAUGGGAAUUGGUUCUACCCGAAGGUGGUGCGCCAACCUGCUUGUCAGGAGGCAGCCAACCACGGUAGGAUCA